GCGUAGCUACAUAUUCUUAGAUAUUUAUGUGUAGGCAGCUACAGUAUUUUACCUGGAAGCAUUUGUCACCAACCUAAUUCAAAAUUGCAGCUAAAUUUUUUCUGAAAAUGGCACCUGCUGGAAAGCCGUUUAUGGAGUGAAAACUCAAAGCUGUAAAUUUUAUGCAUAAAUAUUUACGGUUUUUUUGGUUGCAGGAUCAAAUGCUAUGGUGAAUUGUGAAGAAUCUGAGGGCCUUUCUCAAUCUAGAGGUUUAUGAGUGAUGAUUCCAGAAAGAAAUGGUAGUGAUUUCAUGAACGCCUAUAUUUUAUCAUCUCGCCCACAAAAGUCGAAAUUCCCUUGCCUGGCCCCACACCUCGCCCGACAGGAUAGUACACGAGACUCGCUGUCCAUUAGGUGGGAAGAUCAAUGUCCGACUUGGCAAGGAGCCCACCACAUUGGGUUGCAGAGAUCGGCUGUUGGAUACACUCGCCAAGGCAUUUAGCGUUUACUCUGACCCGUAUUCUCUGCAUCAUAACAGGUAUGAACGUACUACCUAUUAUGUGGUCCAGUACUAGAUCAUCUUCUGCAGUGCAGACAAAUUCGUCACCCACAUCCCAAGGUAAGCAGAAUCGACCCCCAUUGUUUUCUUCCUCAGUAACAAACCUGUAGAGAUGAAUGACUGAAACUUGUGCACUAGUGGUCCUGGAGGCAGGCUUGCUGUUUCUGCACACAAACAUCUAUACAUGCCUGGAAUUUCAUAGCAUAUUGCUCUACAGUUUGGGAUUGAUUCAUGCAUUAACCUUUGAAGCCCACCCUGCAAUGACGCACUCUUCAUUUGGAGGCUUCAUCUUCUGGAAAGACUCCCGAGCAAAGAGCAACUGCAGGAUAAUGAUCGGUGAGAAUCAAACCCCAACUUCCAUUUUCUUCUAAGUUUCGGUGUAUUAUAUAUAUCAAACAGAAUUCACGAUCUGCAAAUAAUGUAUGUAUAGAUAGAUGGAAAAAGUAUAUACAGAUUUAAAGAACACCGAAAAAUAAAUCAGCAGUAUGUAUGCCAAGUAUUCUUUUGCGAAUCAUAUAGUAGACUCGCUAAAGCUCAAAUCUAAAAGUCAAUCAAUAUGAAAAAAUAUAAGCUUUGUUCCUAAUAUCAAAAUUAAUACGGAGUAAAAUACAAGGAAAAGUUGUCAUACUGUGAUAAUGAAGGGUUGUCAUUUCUGAUAUGCAGACUGCCAAGGGAAAAUAUUUGUACAAUGCUAAUAAUAUCAUAUUCACAAAGUACAUAAACUUCAAUCAUGCUUCCUUGCACAUUCAUCAGCACAGCUUCUUCUUCUUCUUCUUCUUCUUCUUCGUCUUUUAUUUAAAAAAAAAUAAAAAUUUAAUGCCCUUUUAUUCGUUACUGCAAAGUAAGAAUGAUUCUUAUUUUGGCAUCAUUGUUUUUCUUUUUAAACCUGUUCUAGUUUUACAGUUUGUCCAUAAGUGGCGUGAUUGGCUGUUGUCUCUAGAUUACAAUGACAUAUUUGGCACGUUGACAGUGAACAUUUGUAAAUGGUCCCAAAGGUUCAUUAUAUAUCGUGAUCUGUUUUGGACCAUGUGAUUACUGAUUUGCAGUGUUGCAAAAAUCCCGCCUAGGCGCUAGGCGCUGGCCGGCCACCUAGAGUAUCACCAUAAUUGGUGGUCUAGGCGGUUGGCCGCCUAGGCUUUGACUGCCUAGGCCUCCUAGGUCGCCUAGUCGGCCGAUUAGCUAUUGUUUCCUUCUUUUUUAAAUGGGUUAUUUCACUCAAACCGACAUGGUUUUGAGCAAAGUAACCCUAAAUUGUUCAAACUCUAAAUGUUUUUUAGGUUAAUAUUUUAGUAUUAACUAUUAAAGUAUUAAAUAGUUUGUAAUUAUCAAGUCUUAAAAAAUUAAAAAUUUUAAACAAUUAAAAAAAAAAAAAACACACACACAGGCGGCUAGGCGCUCCCCGAGCGCCUAGUGAUUUUUUCAACCAUGUUGAUUUGUUAACAAUUCAGCUAUCGAUGUCUCAAGAAAGAGGGGAAAAGGACUGAAGAAAUAGAAGAGGUAAGAUGCUAGAACUUUUGGAGGGAGUGAGAAUAAAAUCUAACUUGUAAAGCAACACUGAUGAAUUUGAUGUUACUUUGAGGGAUGCAUUGCACUGUUGAGGGUAAUCCAGCUAAUAAAACAUUACAUAAUCUUGUAUCUUUGUGGAUUAUUAUUUAUUUAUUUUAUUUUCAAAGAUUGGGUUCAAUGUCCAAAAGAUGCUAUUGCAGUGCUCAGUUCCCAUUUGAACUCAAGGAAGGGAGGCCUUCACCACAGACAGGAGGAUUGUAUGCUUGCUGUCGAUCAAGACAAAUGAUCAGAAAUUCCAAAUAAUUUGUCAAGAACUUCCAAAUUAUGAAUAUUUACAAUCUCCUGUAAUCUCUCUCUGCCAUUUAUUAUCUAUCUCUCACAUGGGACUCUUAGCCUCACAUCACCAAUCCUUAUCAUUUUUACCCUAAUAUAGUAAUGUUCAUUGCACUUUACGUGAUUUUUUUUUCUUGUGCUUGUGUUUGUACUUCAGUAUUAUCACGGGGAAUUCAUCUACUUCAUACAUAUACACAUGGUAACUGACACAUGAAUCAUUUCCAGAUGACUGUUAAUCAAUAUUCCUACUUCCCUAUGUAACUGAAACAUGAAUCAUUUCCAAAUGACUGUUAAUCAAUAUUCCUACUUCCCUAUGGACAUUAUGUUACUGUGACUGUUUUGGUGUUUGCAACUUUAUAUUCAUAUAUUUUGCAGAAGCACUCAAGAACAGACAUUGUGUUACUGUGACUGUUUUGGUGUUUGCAACUUUAUAUUCAUAUAUUUUGCAGAAGCACUCGAGAACAGAAGAUGAAACGCCAGAGGCUGAGACAACCGCAAUGAUCCAGAAAAUGGUAUGAGCGUACUACCUAUUAUGUGGUCCAGUACUAGAUCAUCUUCUGCGGUGCAGACAAAUUCAUCACCAAGCAAUGUUUGCCACAUCCCAAGAGGUCCGAUGAGAGAUAUUAUCGAGGAUAUCCACCAUUGGAAGGAAAAGGACUGGAAAGUUAACUUCAGAGGCAGAACAUGGUGGCUGACCAUCUUGCUAAUUUCGGAGCUUAUCAAGGCCCGGAGUGGUUUGAACAUGAGCACCCUCCCCCAGGGACGGAGGAGCUGAUCGGCAGAGACAUGUUGGUUUUGUUUUGUUAUUUCCUUGCAUGGUUGUACAAGGUGUAAUGCCAUAUAUGAGUAGGUUUUUUUUUGGGAGUGAUAGAGGGAAACCCUCAACCAUUUUCCAAACAUUUAUAAAAUUUCAUAGCAUAUUGACAUAUUGGUAUUCUUUGUUGCCAAAAUAAUGAAUUUUCAUAGUAUAUUAAUAUUCUUUGUUGUCCAAUA